rnacentral:misc_RNA from 1 species
AGAGACAUCCAAAUGCAGCAGGUAUAUAAAGAGACUUUUUUUCCUGUUUGUUUCAUAUAUUGGCUUUUUCCUUUUUACUUAAUUUAUUAUGGGCAUAUAAUAAUUUUUUUCGUAUCCUGAAAAUGCAAUGUUAAGGAUAUUCAUGCUUUAAACAGUAUCAAGGAUAUUGGAGUUGAUGAUUAUUUCUCAGCUUGAUAUUUAUGUGGGAUAAAUGAUUUCUGUAUUUGGAGGAUGUCAUGUCAAAGUCAAAACUUUUGUAUUGGACAAAUCAUUGCUUGGCAUUACCAAGUUAAUAUUCCUUUGUUCCACCGAAUCUGCAAAACUUAUGCUUUGUGAUCUUUUUUUGCUCGUCUCUUAGCAGGGGAAACAGCAGCAGAAUA